UACGGAGGGGACUAGCGUUGUUCGGAAUUACUGGGCGUAAAGCGCACGUAGGCGGAUCUGUAAGUCAGGGGUGAAAUCCCGGGGCUCAACCUCGGAACUGCCUUUGAUACUGCAAAUCUCGAGUCCGGAAGAGGUGAGUGGAAUUCCUAGUGUAGAGGUGAAAUUCGUAGAUAUUAGGAAGAACACCAGUGGCGAAGGCGGCUCACUGGUCCGGUACUGACGCUGAGGUGCGAAUGCGUGGGGAGCAAACAGG
rnacentral:rRNA from 1 species